AGAGUUCGAUCAGGCUCAGAACGUACGCUGGCGGCACGCUUAACACAUGCCAUUCGAACGAAGUAGCAAUACUUAGUGGCAGACGGGUGAGUAACAUGUGGGUAUCUGCCCUUUGGCCUGGAAUAACACGAGGAAACUUGUGCUAAUACCGGAUAAGUCUUUACGGAGAAAGCUUUAUGCACCAUUGGAUGAGCCCGCACUUGAUUAGUUUGUUGGUGGGGUAACGGCCUACCAAGACUGUGAUCAAUAGCUGAUUUGAGAGGAUGAUCAGCCACAUUGGGACUGAGACACGGCCCAAACUCCUACGGGAGGCAGCAGUGGGGAAUCUUGCACAAUGGAGGAAACUCUGAUGCAGCGAUGCCGCGUGAGUGAAGAAGGCCCUUGGGUUGUAAAGCUCUUUCGUCGGGGAAGAAAAUGACUGUACCCGAAUAAGAAGGUCCGGCUAACUUCGUGCCAGCAGCCGCGGUAAUACGAAGGGACCUAGCGUAGUUCGGAAUUACUGGGCUUAAAGAGUUCGUAGGUGGUUGAAAAAGUUAGUGGUGAAAUCCCAGAGCUUAACUCUGGAACUGCCAUUAAAACUUUUCAGCUAGAGUAUGAUAGAGGAAAGCAGAAUUUCUAGUGUAGAGGUGAAAUUCGUAGAUAUUAGAAAGAAUACCAAUUGCGAAGGCAGCUUUCUGGAUCAUUACUGACACUGAGGAACGAAAGCAUGGGUAGCGAAGAGGAUUAGAUACCCUCGUAGUCCAUGCCGUAAACGAUGUGUGUUAGACGUUGGAAAUUUAUUUUCAGUGUCGCAGCGAAAGCGAUAAACACACCGCCUGGGGAGUACGACCGCAAGGUUAAAACUCAAAUGAAUUGACGGGGACCCGCACAAGUAGUGGAGCAUGUGGUUUAAUUCGAAGAUACGCGCAGAACCUUACCAACACUUGACAUGUUCGUCGCGACUCUAAGAGAUUAGAGUUUUCGGUUCGGCCGGACGAAACACAGGUGCUGCAUGGCUGUCGUCAGCUCGUGUCGUGAGAUGUUGGGUUAAGUCCCGCAACGAGCGCAACCCUCACUUUUAGUUGCCAUCAUUUAGUUGGGCACUCUGAAAGAACUGCCAGUGAUAAGCUGGAGGAAGGUGGGGAUGACGUCAAGUCCUCAUGGCCCUUACGUGUUGGGCUACACACGUGCUACAAUGGUAUCUACAACAGGAAGCAAGACUGCGAGGUCAAGCAAAUCCUUAAAAGAUACCUCAGUUCGGAUUGCACUCUGCAACUCGAGUGCAUGAAGCUGGAAUUACUAGUAAUCGUGGAUCAGCGUGCCACGGUGAAUGCGUUCCCGGGUCUUGUACACACCGCCCGUCACACCAUGGGAGUUGGUUCUACCUUAAGGCAAGGUUUCAGGCCCUUGACCACGGUAUAGUCAGCGAAAGGGGUGAAGUCGUACAAGGAGCCUAAAGGNCGAUCGUA
rnacentral:rRNA from 1 species